UCUAUUUUUCCCUGCUGUCUUGUCUUGUGUACUGAUGUUCGCUCUGUGUUCAGGAGUGUCAGAAAAUCAGAUGAAGAUAUUCCUGUUCCACCUCUUGUUAAAAGUGCUGCUAUGUGGGGAAGCUGCUAAGUUAUCAGCUGAGACUGAGACAGUUGGGAGAUGUAGUGGUGGUGCUGCCUGAGGUCCACCAUGCUCUCUUGAAGGUUUUUUUCACUGAUCUUGUAUAUGGAGUUGAAACUUUUGAUGAUCCAAUAGUUGAUUCAAAGGUAUAAUUUCUGUUCUCUAUGCAAACUUGUUUUCGUAGCUUCAUGAUAGCCUUUUCCAAUUACUACCUCGUAUAAAAAGCAAUCAUUUUAUCAAGGAAUUUUAGACUGGCGUGAAAAAUAAAAUCUAAGUUGUAAGAGUUCUAUGGGCUAUGCCACACACCAUUAAAUGAAUCAAGGGGCAUUUGGAAUUGUAGUA